UGUGAGUUCCUCCAUUGUUAUCGCAGGUUGUUCGGGGUGCGAGGAGCAAUUUUGUAUCCGCGAGAUUGUGAUUCUAACUAACGAUCGCGAGUUUGCGAGACAGACACACAUUGUAUAGUUAUGUUAUAGUUUGAAAUACGCGUAGAAUGCUGUAUGAUUGUUGAAAUAGUGUUUUAUUUUUUUGUUGUAAAUUUUUGUGUAAUUUUAUAUUAGUGAAACGUAACGAAAAAGCAAGCAAAUAGAAUUCUUACGUUGUUGAAAAUUUGUAGAGAUGCUAAGGAAAAGUGUGUAAGGAAAGUGAAAUAAUUCGAAUUGAGUUUAAACAAAAAGGUAGUGAAGCCACCGCAGUGAAGAAGCGCAAUGAGAAUCGGAAUGUGAAGUGUUUUCGUAUCGCAAAGAAGGGAAUUGUUGUUGAAAGCGAAAGCUAGACCAGAGGAGAAAAAAAUUGAAAACAAAAAAAAACUAGAAAACCAAAUCUCCCUCGCAAAUUUUGAAUUGAUGCGUGCACAGUAAAAUGGCCUCAUCUCCUACGCCAUCGUUAGAAUCGUUACCCGGCGCAUCGAAUUCGAUUGGAUCAUACGGUGAACCCGCGGAAUACCUCUCAGACUCGCCCCUGACGACGCUGAGCAGUUCGGCAGCAGGAUCGUCCCCGCCGGUCAGUGACUCCGCCAUCUGUGACGACUACGUGACGAACUCGAGCCUCGAGUCGGCUCAAUCGAACAGCAAUGAAUCGUUGUUUCCGCGGUGCACCGGUUGCAAGAGCAAACAGUCCGACGCUGUCGCCAAGUGUAUCGAUUGUGUGAAUUUCCUGUGUGCCAACUGUGUUACGGCCCACCAGUUUAUGCAUUGCUUUGACGGACAUUCAGUGUUUCGUAUUGGGAACUCGAGCUCUAGCACGGGAUCAACGACCGGUAUAACGACAACAAUCGCGAACGGCGGAGGCCUGGGUUCGCUGGAGGGAAGCCUUCUGGCCAACAACAUUCUGAACAGCAGCAAAAUAAUGAACGGCUUCGAACCCGCACCGCAUCGCUUGACCUCGCUGAAUCUCACAAUCAAGGAUGACACCAGCAGUCUGGUGAAAUCGAUCAUGAACAAUGUGAUAAGCCCACUGACGACCUCCAACGGGAAUAGUGGCGCAGGCUGUGGCGGUGGAGGAGGAGGAGCUGGGGUUGGCAAUCAUGCCAUAUCCGGUGUGAAUCAACUCAACAGCCAGCUGUCGGGGCUCAACAUGAGCACUGCCGACUUGAAUGCUUCGAACAAGCCAAACUACUUCUGUAAACGUCACACCAACGAGCUGCUCAAGUUCUUCUGUCGAACCUGCAGCGUUCCUGUUUGCAAAGACUGCAUGCUUAUCGAGCACCCGAACGGAGUGCACGAGUGUGACCACAAUCCGGACUCGACCCCGAAACAAAUCGAGAGCCUGCUGCACACCGUCAGCGAAGUACGCGCCAAAGCGACCGAGCUACGCACGCUGAUCAAGAACGUUGAACACAGUGCCCAACGAAUCCAGGUGCAAUACCACAAGGCCCAGAAUGAGAUCACCGACACGCAUCAGUUCUACCGUUCGAUGCUCGACGAACGCAAGGCUGAAUUGUUGAAGGAGCUGGAAAGUUUCUACAAUACCAAGAACAUGUCCCAAUCGGUACUUCUGACCAAGAGUCAGGAUCAGGUCGACAAGGUGCUGCAGAGUUGCGAGUUUGUCGAACGCCUUAGUAAAUGUGCCGGCCUAGCGGAGACAAUCAUGUUACGAAAGUUUAUGGAAAACAAGCUGCUACUCUUCCCGGCCAUCACCCAAGAUCUGCAAUCAUCAUACGAGCUGGAUUUUGUGUCAAACUAUCAGGCGAUCCAGGUGGGCGUGCGCAACACUUUCGGCUAUAUCCGAUCGACCACGGACGUGACAUCGACCACGAACAAGCAGCCUCCGAUCGCUCGGCCUACGUCAAACAAUACGAACGGAAGCAACGGAGUGAUUGGUUCGAACAAUCUCAUCAUGACCAACGGUAAUAGCCCUUCGAGCAGUACCGGUAGCUUGAACCUCAUCCACCAAAACCCACUGAUGGUGAACGGCGGCAACAGCGGUCACCUCAUCGACCGACCCUUCUCGAAUGCGAACGGUAAUUCGGGCAACAGCAUAAACAUGUCCACCUCGCCAUCCCAAACGAACGGCGGUCUCACUUCGUUCGACUCGAACAUAAUCUCCAAGCGCUUCAAUAGCGCCAACAGCUUGGGACCAUUCGUCGGAGACGUCCAACCGCUGCAGCCACUGAACCCGUACGAAAAGUGGAGCAACGGGGGUACCGACAUCUUCAACAACAUCAACGAUCAGUAUACCAUUCCGUUGAACCACAUCCCGCAGGAGUCGAUGAUCGAUCUUAGCACGAAGCUCAUGAACACGUCAAUUUUCCCACCGAAGUCGCAAAUCAAGCGACAGAAAAUGAUCUACCACUGCAAGUUUGGCGAGUUCGGCGUGAUGGAGGGUCAGUUCACGGAACCAAGUGGUGUCGCUGUGAAUGCUCAGAACGAUAUCAUUGUGGCCGACACGAACAACCACCGGAUUCAGAUCUUCGACAAGGAGGGUCGCUUCAAGUUCCAGUUUGGCGAGUGUGGCAAGCGCGACGGGCAGCUACUAUACCCGAACCGGGUGGCGGUAGUGCGGACGUCCGGCGAUAUCAUUGUGACCGAGAGAUCCCCCACGCACCAGAUUCAGAUCUACAACCAGUACGGGCAGUUCGUGAGGAAGUUCGGAGCCAACAUUCUGCAGCAUCCGAGGGGUGUCACGGUGGACAGCAAGGGUCGCAUCGUGGUAGUCGAGUGCAAGGUGAUGCGCGUGAUCAUCUUCGACCAAUCGGGCAAUGUGUUGCAGAAGUUUGGCUGCAGCAAGCAUCUGGAGUUCCCGAACGGAGUGGUGGUGAACGAUAAGCAGGAGAUCUUUAUCAGCGACAAUCGUGCGCACUGCGUCAAAGUGUUCAAUUACGAGGGACAGUUCCUGCGACAAAUUGGGGGCGAGGGUAUCACCAACUACCCGAUCGGAGUGGGCAUCAACGCCAGCGGCGAGAUCCUGAUCGCAGACAAUCACAACAACUUCAACCUGACCAUUUUCACACAGGACGGCCAGCUGGUGUCGGCACUGGAGAGCAAGGUCAAACACGCCCAAUGCUUCGACGUGGCCCUGAUGGACGACGGCAGCGUGGUGCUGGCCAGCAAGGACUACAGACUGUACAUCUACCGGUACGUCCAGGUACCGCCUAUCGGCUUGUAAAGGGACGAGAAAACGCGUGCCAGGGACGCUCGCGGACAGUACGAAUUCGGACGGAGCUCUUCUGUCAGACCAAGGAGAAGUAUGCCGUGCAUGAAACGUGACGAAUAGGAAUAAGUGCUCUGUUUUCCAAAAUCUGCGAUUUUUGCGCAAAUGUGCUCCACAGAAGAAAAAAAAAGACUUUGAUUCAAAACAAAAAGCGUUUAAAAGAAGAAGAAAAAACUUAGAACAACACAUAUUAGAAGCAACUCUAGUCCUCGCCACUGUUCCAGAAAGUGAGUGCGUUCUGCAAGAGUCCGCGUUUUUUGUGCGUGCAUACGAUUGUAUGUGUGUGCGCAUAUCAUGCGGCCGCAAACUCAGAACGCAAACUAACGAAGAAAAUAUCAAACCAAGUUGCAGAUCCCUGCACCGGACUGCGUCUCAACCGCGCGCGCGUAAUCAUCCUUCGCGGGAGAGGAAAAAAUAAGUAUACACAGAGAGGAGCCACGAAAUGACCAAGAACGAAGACGAUGAACCCCGGGCCCCGUUGGAAGUGGCCGAGAACCGGAAGAGCAAGAAGUGAUAGCGGCGUGUAAGGACUUGUGUGCGUGCGCUGCGCUGUGAUGUGACUGUUGAUGUGAUGGGGAAAUAGGCCGUCACGAUAUCUUGGGGCGGCCUCAAAAACCGUUGUGACUGUGUGGAACGCAUGCAGAUUUUUUUUUGUAUUGCCAUGUGACACGCUUCUAUAGCAUCUAGAGAGAGAGAGAGAGAGAGAGAGAGAGAGAGAGAGAUUCGAUGAUGAGCCACAGCAAGAAGAAGAAAACAGAGAGCGAGCACAUGUGCGUUAUCAAUCUGCAAGCCAGCUGUUUAUAUUGUGCUAGACCCCGCUGUUUGCUGCCGGUGGUGUUUAGAUGGGAUGUCAAAUUUGUGCGCGAAAUAAGAACCCAACGAAAGCUCCAACGUGGACAGACAGGCAGAACAUACAAACAAUAAACCGGACGAAAACUUUGAAGACAGCGGAAAAAACGGGAGCAGCGGCGCACAUUUACACAGCACGGGAUGGGAAAAGAAGUCAAGUAAGAACUUUUUUACCGCUCUGAUAAGAAUUUAACGACGAGAAAAUAUUGCGUUUCUCGCCCUAAAAAUAAUACAUACAAAUAAAUACACGGGAGAUUACGAUAACGUAGCGAAGGAAGGAAGGAAGGAAAAACCACACUGCUUUUUUAUACAUAUUAUUAAAACUAUUGUAUUCAAGGUAAAUCAAGGCGCAGUAAAUGAUGAACGCACAGAACGGACAGCAGUCGAACUGUCCGCGGUGCGCUUCGUUUCUCCCGUAGUGUUUGAGAAGAAGAUGAAAAAAAACGAGCAUGACAUGAUUAUCCCUAUUAAAUUAAUGCCCUAUUAUUAGCUAUUGAUUAAUGCGAAUCGAUUUGACUUCUUUACGACUGAACAAUUGUUAUUGCAAGUGGAUAUGAACUUAGUAUCAAGAGCUACGAUUGAUUUUUAAGUGUAGGUACUCUUUGGACAGCCCCUGAAUAUAUCCUAGUCGGGACCGUCCGGUUGUAUAUGUUUCUAUAUAUACCUUUUAAUCAAGCAUAUAAGAGAAAAAAGGAUCAGCAGCGUGUUUUAUUAUCAGGGUAUAUGUUCGUUCACGAAUAAAUCCAAACACACACACACAGACACAAACACAUACACACACGUUCAUUGCGACGAUUAUACAAACCCGCGUGAAAAUGUUAGUUAAGUCAACUACUACUUGAAUUUUAGUGAGAAAGUUGUUUUGUUCGAAUCUGUUCUCAGUGUUUCUUCUUCACUGCGCUAAACUCAUAAGACUCGAAAAUAUCGCUUCCGGCAGUGCUCUCUGGCUAGGCACUUCACGCAAAAACCAUAGGGCCAGAAACGAGGCUCGUUAUAAAUGAAAAUUACCACCCCGAAGGUGGCCAAUUUCCAUUGGUAACUAGACUCAACGGGUGGCCGAACUGGCCGAAACGUCGGUAGCGCUGCCCGCAAACGAUAUUUCCUCAAAACCAUUCGAUCAAAGCUUGAACCUAUCUAAGUCGUCGCCAUUCGGGGCGGAGUCUGCCCACGAAACAGGUGAAACACAGAAUGUUUCUAUUACUUUUACGUUAAUGUACAUCUAGUUCGAUAAGGCAUGAAGCGUGCGCGAGGAAGAGAAGCGCGCGCGCACUCACACACACACACACGAGAAAUGGAAAAUAAUCUAUUAUAUAAUUGGAAAACAAAAGAAGAAGUGAAAAAAACAAAACAAAAAAAGGCAAACUCCCGACAUUGGAACAAAGAUUAAUAAGGCGAAAACAAGUGGAAACAAUUAGACAUUUAAUAGAUAUAUUUAAAAGAAAAUAUUUAGAUAAAUUGUUGAACUGUUUUGUAGCGUUUUACAAUAAACCAAAAUUUAUCUGACAUGAAGAGGAGAAAACAAAGCAAACGGCAAAGUACGCACUGAGGGCAAAUCGGAUAUACUCGGGGUUGAGUUGCAGGCGAACAUCGGGAAUGUAACACACAAAUCAACUCACUCACUCUCCCCUCUUCCUGACAAUCCCCAAAAAAACCGAACACGAAUAGACCCACACUAUUGAACAAAACAAAAACAAACAAACAAACAAACAAACAAAAAACUCUCCCCCCCAUGAAGGAGGUUAAUGUUUAGAUAGCUUUUUUUCAAUUGUCAAUAAUUUAUUCUAAUCAUUACCUAAUUCUUGUUUGGUUUUUUUUUUUUUUACAUGUGUGUACGCGUUUUAUUUUACUCUAGCCAUUAGCCAUUAUUUUACUCUAGCCAUUAGAUUUCGCUUCCUGCGAGCAACGGGCAAAAACAAAUCUUUGCAGAGCACUCACACUAAGGGGAAAGCGCAAACAGUUAAGCUAAGCGAAAACCGCGCCCAAAACCGAAUCACCACCGCCACUGCCGCCGCCGCAGUCAAAUCUGUCGGGCAGAAAGUUUUGCUUUCUUGGCGCAACUGACGCAAAUUUAGAACAAAAAAAAAUUAAACAAACAAAUCGGAGUCUGGCAGGACUCCAGACGAGGGACUGAGAGAGAGAGAGGAAGGGAAGCAGUUUUUCAUUAACCUUACAGUGCAGUAUUAAUAUUUUUUUUGUUUUUGUUUUUUUGUGCUCGUUUACAUUUAGACCUAAGGAGUAAUCCUUUUUAUACUGUAUCCUUUUUUUAUAUAUAUUUUUUUGUCAUAUACCCGUGCUUUAGCCUUUUUUCGACAAAUAAUCACUAUUUGUAGAAAGUAUCUCGUUAAAGUGUAAGGGCCGAGAAAAUUUGUCGUAUUUGUGUGUGUUUUUUUGAUAAUUACUCACUUUUACUCUAGCCGAUAAGCCGUCUCUUUUUAGUUAUCUCAUUUUUAUCGUAUUUUUAUAUAUAAACUAUUAUUAUUUUGACAUAUUAUUAUUGCAUUUAGAAAACGACACAUUUUUAAAUUAAUAUUAUACACCUUUGUUGGUUAUGUUGAUUUUUGUUUUGUUAAAUUAUUACACCUAAGUUUUUGAGUUUAACGAGUUUUGAGAAACUAUACCUUGUGUAAGUGUAAUUGCGAGCCUGAAUGAGAGCGCAACAAAUGUAUAUUUUUUAAAGCAACGAAAUUUGAGCAAUCCAUAAACAAGUAAGAUCCAAACCGAAACACACUAGACAAGCAUUUAAGCAGCAGUGAUGAGAGAAGAAGACGAAGAAGAAGGUGUCCACAGCAAGUUUUGUUUCUAUUUGGUUCAGUCAAAACACGAAAGCGAGCCGACGAAACUUAAAGACACGGCAGAAGAUAUAUGUAGUACCAGGAAAGGGGGAAAUUAAACAAACAAGCAACAACACAAAAAAGGAAGAUAAUUUGUACGAACCGCGCUCUCCCCCGCAGAUUGUUUCGUUGCAGUCGGAGGGAGACGUGUUUCGCCCAGCGGUCUCACCUUUCCUGGCACACAGAAAUUGUUUUGAUUUUUUAUAGAAAUAAACUAGAAAGUUACUUACUUUUUUGAUUAUUUUUUAAUUAUAUACUAUGCGAAGAUUUAUUAACAAAAUGAUUGAAAAAAUCACAAAAAUAAAAAAUGAGUUGUUUAGAUAAAUUGAA